rnacentral:misc_RNA from 1 species
ACGCUUGAAGAACGGCACGGGCGACUGCCCUUCCCCCUCGCCCAGGCCGUCGAUCGAACCGCCCCGGGCCCGCACCGCCAGGACCGCGCGCGUCCCGAGCGACAGGUAAUAGCGCCCCUCGAGCGUCGCCUCGUAAUAAUCGUAGUCGCCGCGCAGCCAUCCUCCCGCCUGCUCCACGUGGACCGUCGCAACGUAACCCUUCCGCGCAUCCGUCAGGUUGCCCGUCGUGUUGCGGCCG